UUAUUGCUUGAGAAUACACG
rnacentral:miRNA from 1 species